AGUGAACGCUGGCGGUAGGCCUAACACAUGCAAGUCGAACGGCAGCACAGUAAGAGCUUGCUCUUACGGGUGGCGAGUGGCGGACGGGUGAGGAAUACAUCGGAAUCUACUUUUUCGUGGGGGAUAACGUAGGGAAACUUACGCUAAUACCGCAUACGACCUACGGGUGAAAGCAGGGGAUCUUCGGACCUUGCGCGAUUGAAUGAGCCGAUGUCGGAUUAGCUAGUUGGCGGGGUAAAGGCCCACCAAGGCGACGAUCCGUAGCUGGUCUGAGAGGAUGAUCAGCCACAUUGGAACUGAGACACGGUCCAGACUCCUACGGGAGGCAGCAGUGGGGAAUAUUGGACAAUGGGCGCAAGCCUGAUCCAGCCAUACCGCGUGAGUGAAGAAGGCCUUCGGGUUGUAAAGCCCUUUUGUUGGGAAAGAAAAGCAGCAGGUUAAUACCCCGCUGUUCUGACGGUACCCAAAGAAUAAGCACCGGCUAACUUCGUG
rnacentral:rRNA from 1 species